rnacentral:rRNA from 1 species
AAACAGGAUUAGAUACCCUGGUAGUCCACGCCGUAAACGAUGUCGACUUGGAGGUUGUGCCCUUGAGGCGUGGCUUCCGGAGCUAACGCGUUAAGUCGACCGCCUGGGGAGUACGGCCGCAAGGUUAAAACUCAAAUGAAUUGACGGGGGCCCGCACAAGCGGUGGAGCAUGUGGUUUAAUUCGAUGCAACGCGAAGAACCUUACCUGGCCUUGACAUCCAGAGAACUUAGCAGAGAUGCUUUGGUGCCUUCGGGAACUCUGAGACAGGUGCUGCAUGGCUGUCGUCAGCUCGUGUUGUGAAAUGUUGGGUUAAGUCCCGCAACGAGCGCAACCCUUAUCCUUUGUUGCCAGCGGCUCGGCCGGGAACUCAAAGGAGACUGCCGGUGAUAAACCGGAGGAAGGUGGGGAUGACGUCAAGUCAUCAUGGCCCUUACGGCCAGGGCUACACACGUGCUACAAUGGCGCAUACAAAGAGAAGCGACCUCGCGAGAGCAAGCGGACCUCAUAAAGUGCGUCGUAGUCCGGAUUGGAGUCUGCAACUCGACUCCAUGAAGUCGGAAUCGCUAGUAAUCGUAGAUCAGAAUGCUACGGUGAAUACGUUCCCGGGCCUUGUACACACCGCCCGUCACACCAUGGGAGUGGGUUGCAAAAGAAGUAGGUAGCUUAACCUUCGGGAGG